rnacentral:lncRNA from 1 species
UAUGAUCGCUAUCCGGCGUCAAGUCACCUCAUUAUAGCAACUACGAUGUGCAAUCCGGGGUCUCAAACCCUCAGAACAUCAUUCACAAUCAUUACUCACCUCAAACCGCCAAAACUCUAGCUCGCUAUGUCCUUGCCUCUAUGAACGGCCUCCUCGUGCGUCGAAUCUGAUCAAAACUAUAGUGAAUACAUCACAAUAGGCUAAGGGAAUAAAACCCAAGUGAAAACAAUCAAAAAAUAUCAAAAAUUUCGAAAUUACCAAAACUCGAGCGUCGAUCCCACUUCUCGAAUCUCAAAAAAAUUCACAUUAACGGGUUCCUUAUUUCGGCGCGAGUCUAUACAUAUCAAGAGCACCAAAUCGGAGUCCAAAUGACCCCUCAAAUCCCAAUUUUAGAAUCUAAAAAUUCAAGCCCUAGUUCUUCCCUUUUUGGCUAAAUCUUCAUGAAUCUCCCAAUUAAUUUCACAAUAUAAAUGAGUUUUAAGUUCAUAAAUCUUUCCUCCAUCGAUUUCCCUUGAAUCCCUCUUUAAUUUCUUUCAAAAGCUCUCAAAAUUACCAACUAUGGAGUGAAAAUGAGCACACACCCGCGCAAGAGAUGUUUAUAACUCUUCUGUCCAGCACUUAAAAAUCCUUCUUCGCGAAUGCGGUCAAAGCCUCGCGUUUGCGAAGCACAACAAUUCCAUAGACCAUAAUUCACAAACGCGUAGCUUUACCCCAGGCAACCCUACGCGAACGUGACCCCACUCAUACGAACACGAAGAACAAAUUUCACUUCUAAUCCACCUGACCCAAUUCCUCUUAUGCGAACGCGAAUACACCCAUGCAGACGCGAUGUCUUCCCUUUUACAAUCUAUGCUAAUGCGGCCCUAUGGCCGCAAACGCGAAGAGAAAAAGCUGGCCAGCCCAAACUCCUCUUCGCGAACGCGAACAUCCUUGUGCGAACGCGCAACACCAGCUCCCAGAACUAUGCGAACGCGGGCCCCUGGCUGCGAACGCGAAGAACAAACUUAGGCCACCCAAAUUCCUGCUAUGCGAAUGCAAGUUCCUUCUCGUGAUCAUGAAGGCAAAAUAUGAACCUGCACUGCUGCUACAUUUUCUACUAUCUUUUCAAAUUCUAAGCUUCCCGUUAGCCAUCCGAAAUCACCACGAGGUCGGGACCUCAACCAAACAUACCUGCAUAAUCCAUAACGCCAUUCAAACUUAUUUCAAUCAUCAAAAUACCUCCAACAAUAUCAAAUUACUCAAAACUCAUCGAAUCCAAGCCUAAGUUUCCAAAUACAUCUGAAAUACACUUUCAAUCAAAAACUCGACAAAACAACGUACGAAUGAUCUGAAAUUUUGCGCACACAUCCCAAAUGACAUAAUGGAGCUAUUGCAACUCUCAAAAUUCCAUUCCAACUCUCAGAUCAAAAUCUCACCUACCAAUCGGAAUUCGCCAAAAUACUAACUCAUCAAUUCAAGCGAAAUUUCACACCGGAUCUCCAAAAACAAUUCCGAUCACACUCCUAAGUCAAAAAUCAUCUUAAGAAGCUAACCAAAUCAUAAAAAUUCUGAUCCGGGCUCAUAUACAAAUAAGUCAACUUUUGGUCAAACCUUUCAAAUUCCAAGCUUUCAACUAAAACUGUUCUUCUAAAUUCAUUCUGACUUUUCCUGAAAUCAACACCAACGAUCUAUAUCAAUCAUAAUACAUCAUAUGAAGCAAGUCAUGCCCAAAAACUGAAAAUCAAAAUGCAAAAGCUCAAAACGAUCAGUCGGGUCGUUACAUAAAUGCUAUCUCACAAUUAUCAGUUCUUACUACUUCUGCUACCAUCUCAGUGAACAAUCCCCAAAGAGCCAAAUCAACCACAACUAGCAUAUUCAUAUUUAUAUUAAAAAGAAAAAAAUUAACAAUUAUAUAAAUGAUAAACAAACUAUUUAUAGGUUUUUCUCGUUUCAUUUGACGUCCUUUUGACUCUUGUCGCCAAUAGUCAGAACAAGAGCAUGAACUUAGCUUAAAACAGUGAAAGCGACUACGAUCUCUUAUUACAAUUUCUCUAUAAUACACUUUGGAAACAAACUUCAUGGCUGGCAAUCUCGGCAUAUCCUUAAAUUCUUGAAAACAUAAAGAGGCAUGCUAGCCGGUAUGCUUAUGAGCCCAAAACAAAUAGCCAACUUCUCGCAGAUAACUGAAAGCUAUGAAUUAAGCAAAACUCUUUGGCUUUGCUACCUGCUAACUUGUAGCCAUUCAAUUUUUAUACACAUUACACACAACCAUAUCAUAUAGAAUUUCAUACUAAAUUCGAAUUACAACAUAGUAGAAUAGUUGAUAAUAAAAAUUAAACAACGAAAAUAGCAUAGAAUUUCAUAUGCUCAAUACUAUAUCGUAUAGAUUCCAUUGACAGAAAGUGAAAAUUACAUAGUUGAGCGAGUGAGUAAUACCUUGAAACAAAGAAAGGGCAGAAGGAAACAAUAGCAGCUGAUAUAGAGCUAAAUUCCAGCAACAGAAAGCAGUGCUUUAGGCUUGAACGAAACUCAAUAGACACCCAGCGAAAAGUAUUCAAGAUUUAAAGCUUCCAGCAAUCCAUUAGCACUCAAAUCUUUACUAAAUCUCUAUUUUUUCUCUGUUAUUUCAAAACCCCUUUUCUCCAGAUCUGAUUUUCUGAAAUUCAAAAAUUGGUUCUCAGCUGUUUCGUGUGUGUGUAUGUGGUGUAGACGAGGGAGCGAGGAAGAAGAAAGGGUCACGGUGCUGUUGAAGGAGAGUCUGAUUUUUGGUCUGUUUUAGUUGCUUCUCCUUCAAAAAUCAGCUGCGCCGUCUUGGGUGUUUCUAAAAGGGAGUUUUCUAUAUCAGAGAAGGGAGGUAAUCUGAUGGUUUAAUAGGUCUAUGUCUAG